AUCCAGCUGACGAGUCCAAAAAAUAGGACGAAACGCGCGACAUGGAU
rnacentral:hammerhead_ribozyme from 1 species